UACGGAGGGUGCAAGCGUUGCUCGGAAUUAUUGGGCGUAAAGGGUAGGUAGGUGGUCUUAUUUGUCUGGGGUGAAAGCCUUGAGCUUAACUCAAGAAGUGCCCCAGAAACGGUGAGACUAGAGUCCUGGAGAGGGUCGUGGAAUUCCCGGUGUAGCGGUGAAAUGCGUAGAGAUCGGGAGGAACACCAGAGGCGAAGGCGGCGACCUGGACAGGUACUGACGCUGAGGCGCGAAAGCGUGGGGAGCAAACGGG
rnacentral:rRNA from 1 species